rnacentral:rRNA from 1 species
UACGGAAGGGAGCAGGGGGAAUAUUGCACAAUGGGCGCAAGCCUGAUGCAGCCAUGCCGCGUGUAUGAAGAAGGCCUUCGGGUUGUAAAGUACUUUCAGUCGUGAGGAAGGUGUUAAGGUUAAUAACCUUAGCAAUUGACGUUAGCGACAGAAGAAGCACCGGCUAACUCCGUGCCAGCAGCCGCGGUAAUACGGAGGGUGCGAGCGUUAAUCGGAAUUACUGGGCGUAAAGGGCACGCAGGCGGUUAAUUAAGUUGGAUGUGAAAUCCCCGGGCUUAACCUGAGAAUGGCAUUCAAGACUGGUUAGCUAGAGUCUUGUAGAGGGGGUAGAAUUCCAUGUGUAGCGGUGAAAUGCGUAGAGAUGUGGAGGAAUACCGGUGGCGAAGGCGGCCCCUGGACAAAGACUGACGCUCAUGUGCGAAAGCGUGGGGAGCAAACAGGGAUUAGAUACC